GUUCUGCGUGUGCCAUGGUUCUUCAAGAGGAGUUUUAGGAGGAAGAAGUUGGACGAUGUCACUGUAGACCCGGUGGGUGGGCAGCUCUGUGUGAAAGGCAGAUCCGGAGGCUAGACCUACACCCGGGACAUGACACUGGUGGAGGAGUCGGGCUCUCUACCAAGGAAAGGAAACCAUUGGACAGCACUUAAACUGUGGAACGCUGAAGAGGA
rnacentral:lncRNA from 1 species